rnacentral:rRNA from 1 species
GGUACAAAGGGCUGCGAACCCGCGAGGGGGAGCGAAUCCCAAAAAGCCGCUCUCAGUUCGGAUUGCAGGCUGCAACUCGCCUGCAUGAAGCCGGAAUCGCUAGUAAUCGCGGAUCAGCAUGCCGCGGUGAAUACGUUCCCGGGCCUU